rnacentral:rRNA from 1 species
GACGAACGCUGGCGGCGUGCUUAACACAUGCAAGUCGAACGGUAAGGCCCUUCGGGGUACACGAGUGGCGAACGGGUGAGUAACACGUGGGUGAUCUGCCCUGCACUUCGGGAUAAGCCUGGGAAACUGGGUCUAAUACCGGAUAGGACUCCUGGCUUCAUGGUUGGGGGUGGAAAGCUUUUGCGGUGUGGGAUGGGCCCGCGGCCUAUCAGCUUGUUGGUGGGGUAAUGGCCUACCAAGGCGACGACGGGUAGCCGGCCUGAGAGGGUGACCGGUCACACUGGGACUGAGAUACGGCCCAGACUCCUACGGGAGGCAGCAGUGGGGAAUAUUGCACAAUGGGCGCAAGCCUGAUGCAGCGACGCCGCGUGAGGGACGACGGCCUUCGGGUUGUAAACCUCUUUCAGCUAUGACGAAGCGCAAGUGACGGUAGUAGCAGAAGAAGGACCGGCCAACUACGUGCCAGCAGCCGCUGUAA